GGGCCUGUGGUUUAGUGGUAUAACAUUCGCUUAGCACUUAGUGUGUGCGAAAGGUCCGGCGUUCUAUUCGCCGCUUGUCCA